rnacentral:rRNA from 1 species
AUUGAACGCUGGCGGCAGGCUUAACACAUGCAAGUCGAGCGGGGUGAUGGUGCUUGCACUAUCACUUAGCGGCGGACGGGUGAGUAAUGCUUAGGAAUCUGCCUAUUAGUGGGGGACAACAUCUCGAAAGGGAUGCUAAUACCGCAUACGUCCUACGGGAGAAAGCAGGGGAUCACUUGUGACCUUGCGCUAAUAGAUGAGCCUAAGUGGGAUUAGCUAGUUGGUGGGGUAAAGGCCUACCAAGGCGACGAUCUGUAGCGGGUCUUAGAGGAUGAUCCGCCACACUGGGACUGGGACACGGCCCAGACUCCUACGGGAGGCAGCAGUGGGGAAUAUUGGACAAUGGGGGGAACCCUGAUCCAGCCAUGCCGCGUGUUUGAAGAAGGCCUUAUGGUUGUAAGGCACUUUAAGCGAGGAGGAGGCUCUUUUGGUUAAUACCCAAGAUGAGUGGACGUUACUCGCAGAAUAAGCGCCGGCUAACUCUGUGCCAGCCGCCGCCGUAA